rnacentral:rRNA from 1 species
GCUGGUGACUUAUCAUAAAGGCCACACCUGGUUCCAUUCCGAACCCAGAAGUUAAGCUUUAAAGAGGCGAUGGUACUCCGAAAGGGGAAGAGUAGCCAGUCGCCGGCU